CCUACGGGUGGCAGCAGUGGGGAAUAUUGCACAAUGGGGGAAACCCUGAUGCAGCGACGCCGCGUGAGUGAAGAAGUAAUUCGUUAUGUAAAGCUCUAUCAGCAGGGAAGAAAAUGACGGUACCUGAGUAAGAAGCCCCGGCUAACUCCGUGCCAGCAGCCGCGGUAAUACGUAGGGGGCAAGCGUUAUCCGGAUUUACUGGGUGUAAAGGGAGCGUAGACGGCAGUGCAAGGCUGGAGUGAAAGGCGGGGGCUCAACCCCCGGACGGCUCUGGAAACUGUACGGCUGGAGUGCAGGAGAGGUGAGUGGAAUUCCAGGUGGAGCGGUGAAAUGCGUAGAGAUUAGGAGGAACAAGAGUGGAGAAGGCGGCUUACGGGACGGUAACUGACGUUGAGGCGCGAAGGCGUGGGGAGCAAAAAGGAUUAGAUACCCGAGUAGUC
rnacentral:rRNA from 1 species